GGAGAGAUCGCAUAGUGGUCGAGUGCGCCUGCUUGGAGAGCAGGUAACGGGGAAACUCGUUCGAGGGUUCGAAUCCCUCUCUCUCCGCCA
rnacentral:tRNA from 1 species